rnacentral:rRNA from 1 species
GGUUAAGCGACUAAGCGUACACGGUGGAUGCCUAGGCAAUCAGAGGCGAUGAAGGACGUGCUAAUCUGCGAAAAGCGUCGGUAAGGUGAUAUGAACCGCUAUAGCCGACGAUGUCCGAAUGGGGAAACCCAGUGCAAUUCGUUGCACUAUCGUUUGAUGAAUCCAUAGUCAAACGAGGCGAACCGAGGGAACUGAAACAUCUCAGUACCUCGAGGAAAAGAAAUCAACCGAGAUUCCCCUAGUAGCGGCGAGCGAACGGGGAGCAGCCCAGAGUCUUAAUCAGCAUCAGCAUCAGGAGAACGGUCUGGAAAGUCCGGCAGUAAAGGGUGAUAGCCCCGUAUCCGAAGGUGUUGGUGUUGUGAACUCGACGAGUAGGGCGGGACACGUGUUAUCCUGUCUGAAUAUGGGGGGACCAUCCUCCAAGGCUAAAUACUCCUGAUUGACCGAUAGUGAACCAGUACCGUGAGGGAAAGGCGAAAAGAACCCCGGCGAGGGGAGUGAAAUAGAACCUGAAACCGUGUACGUACAAGCAGUGGGAGCACCUUUUAGGUGUGACUGCGUACCUUUUGUAUAAUGGGUCAGCGACUUAUAUUCUGUAGCAAGGUUAACCGUAUAGGGGAGCCGUAGGGAAACCGAGUCUUAACUGGGCGAUUAAGUUGCAGGGUAUAGACCCGAAACCCGGUGAUCUAGCCAUGGGCAGGUUGAAGGUUGGGUAACACUAACUGGAGGACCGAACCGACUAAUGUUGAAAAAUUAGCGGAUGACUUGUGGCUGGGGGUGAAAGGCCAAUCAAACCGGGAGAUAGCUGGUUCUCCCCGAAAGCUAUUUAGGUAGCGCCUCGUGAACUCAUCUUCGGGGGUAGAGCACUGUUUCGGCUAGGGGGUCAUCCCGACUUACCAACCCGAUGCAAACUACGAAUACCGAAGAAUGUUAUCACGGGAGACACACGGCGGGUGCUAACGUUCGUCGUGAAGAGGGAAACAACCCAGACCGCCAGCUAAGGUCCCAAAGUCAUGGUUAAGUGGGAAACGAAGUGGGAAGGCUCAGACAGCCAGGAUGUUGGCUUAGAAGCAGCCAUCAUUUAAAGAAAGCGUAAUAGCUCACUGGUCGAGUCGGCCUGCGCGGAAGAUGUAACGGGGCUAAACCAUGCACCGAAGCUGCGGCAGCGACAUUUAGAUGUUGUUGGGUAGGGGAGCGUUCUGUAAGCCUGUGAAGGUGUGCUGUGAGGCAUGCUGGAGGUAUCAGAAGUGCGAAUGCUGACAUAAGUAACGAUAAUGCGGGUGAAAAACCCGCACGCCGGAAGACCAAGGGUUCCUGUCCAACGUUAAUCGGGGCAGGGUGAGUCGACCCCUAAGGCGAGGCAGAAAUGCGUAGUCGAUGGGAAACAGGUUAAUAUUCCUGUACUGGUGAUAAUUGCGAUGGGGGGACGGAGAAGGCUAGGCUGGCCGGGCGACGGUUGUCCCGGUUUAAGGAUGUAGGCAGGUGAAUUAGGCAAAUCCGGUUCACUACAUGCUGAGGUCUGAUGACGAGUCACUACGGUGGCGAAGUAGCUCAUGCCCCGCUUCCAGGAAAAGCCUCUAAGCUCUAGAUUAUCAUUAAUCGUACCCCAAACCGACACAGGUGGUCAGGUAGAGAAUACUCAGGCGCUUGAGAGAACUCGGGUGAAGGAACUAGGCAAAAUGGUGCCGUAACUUCGGGAGAAGGCACGCUGGCGCUAGGUGAAGUCCCUCGCGGAUGGAGCUGAAGCCAGUCGCAGAUACCAGCUGGCUGCAACUGUUUAUUAAAAACACAGCACUGUGCAAACACGAAAGUGGACGUAUACGGUGUGACGCCUGCCCGGUGCUGGAAGGUUAAUUGAUGGGGUUAUCCGUAAGGAGAAGCUCUUGAUCGAAGCCCCAGUAAACGGCGGCCGUAACUAUAACGGUCCUAAGGUAGCGAAAUUCCUUGUCGGGUAAGUUCCGACCUGCACGAAUGGCGUAAUGAUGGCCAGGCUGUCUCCACCCGAGACUCAGUGAAAUUGAACUCGCUGUGAAGAUGCAGUGUACCCGCGGCAAGACGGAAAGACCCCGUGAACCUUUACUAUAGCUUGACACUGAACAUUGAGCCUUGAUGUGUAGGAUAGGUGGGAGGCUUUGAAGUGUGGACGCCAGUCUGCAUGGAGCCAACCUUGAAAUACCACCCUUUAAUGUUUGAUGUUCUAACGUGGCCCCAUCAUCUGGGGUGCGGACAGUGUCUGGUGGGUAGUUUGACUGGGGCGGUCUCCUCCCAAAGAGUAACGGAGGAGCACGAAGGUUGGCUAAGCAUGGUCGGACAUCAUGCGGUUAGUGCAAAGGCAUAAGCCAGCUUGACUGCGAGAGUGACGGCUCGAGCAGGUACGAAAGUAGGUCUUAGUGAUCCGGUGGUUCUGAAUGGAAGGGCCAUCGCUCAACGGAUAAAAGGUACUCCGGGGAUAACAGGCUGAUACCGCCCAAGAGUUCAUAUCGACGGCGGUGUUUGGCACCUCGAUGUCGGCUCAUCACAUCCUGGGGCUGAAGUAGGUCCCAAGGGUAUGGCUGUUCGCCAUUUAAAGUGGUACGCGAGCUGGGUUUAGAACGUCGUGAGACAGUUCGGUCCCUAUCUGCCGUGGGCGUUGGAAGAUUGAAAGGGGCUGCUCCUAGUACGAGAGGACCGGAGUGGACGCACCACUGGUGUUCGGGUUGUCAUGCCAAUGGCACUGCCCGGUAGCUAAGUGCGGAAGAGAUAACCGCUGAAAGCAUCUAAGCGGGAAACUUGCCUUGAGAUGAGUCUUCCCUGACUCUUUAAGGGUCCUAAAGGAACGUUUAAGACUAAGACGUUGAUAGGCUGGGUGUGUAAGCGUAGCGAUACGUUGAGCUAACCAGUACUAAUGAACCGUGAGGCUUAACCUG